UACGAAGGGGGCUAGCGUUACUCGGAAUUACUGGGCGUAAAGGGCGCGUAGGCGGAUAGUUUAGUCAGAGGUGAAAGCCCAGGGCUCAACCUUGGAAUUGCCUUUGAUACUGGCUGUCUUGAGUUCGGGAGAGGUGAGUGGAAUGCCGAGUGUAGAGGUGAAAUUCGUAGAUAUUCGGCGGAACACCAGUGGCGAAGGCGACUCACUGGCCCGAUACUGACGCUGAGGCGCGAAAGCGUGGGGAGCAAACAGG
rnacentral:rRNA from 1 species